ensembl:snoRNA
UGUGAGGGUGAUGAGUUGCACCAAUCAGUCGGGGUGUCUGCUGCAGUGGCACCAGCACCUCGACCCGAUCCAACCUGAGGACACACACUGUGCACAGGGGCCAUCUGACUCUAC